rnacentral:lncRNA from 1 species
UGAGAACCAACCUUGGAGGUCAUCUGAGAUGCGUGGCUGUGGUGCUGGGUGCCUUAUACAGGUGAGGCCAUUCAAGCUAAAGUGGUGCAGCCAAGUUUAUAAAGUCCCUAAGAGGAGCUGCUGGUCCUUGAGCCACCCAGGUCUUUGUGCCCCUGAAGCUAAAAGCUACAAAAAUCCCCGUGAAGCAGCCCCUGUUGGGAAAAAGAACCCCCCAGGCUGAAAUCCAAGGUAUCUCUGUUCCCAUCACCAGAUCGACUCCUGAGCUAACUUCUAAUUAACACCUGAGAAUAUUUAAGAGUAUAAAUGGUGAGUCCCGGAUCUUGCAAUUGAUACAAACAGGAGAGCUGCCACCCGAGGCUGGAAACCCAAAGGGUAUCCCCAGGUGUCAGCCGGACCCCACGCUGCUGCACUUGCCAGGAGCCACAGGGUGUCCCAAAUUAACGCUGUAACACAAGCGCAGGAGCUACAUGGACGUGUUGCCUUGUCACGUCGGGCUGGUUCUGCACAAACAUCUUUCUUUCGGGCUCAUCCGAAGCCUCAACGCUCCGCAUGAUUUUAAGUGCAAUGAUUUUUCUGUCAAAAAAAAUAAACUUUGCUCUCAAAAUAAUUAGCA